rnacentral:tRNA from 1 species
GGGGAUAUAGCUCAGUUGGUUAGAGCAUUUGCAUCACACGCAAGGGGUCCUGAGUUCGAGUCUCAGUAUCCCCA